GAUGAACGCUGGCGGCGUGCCUAAUACAUGCAAGUCGAGCGAACGGACGAGAAGCUUGCUUCUCUGAUGUUAGCGGCGGACGGGUGAGUAACACGUGGAUAACCUACCUAUAAGACUGGGAUAACUUCGGGAAACCGGAGCUAAUACCGGAUGAUAUUUUGAACCGCAUGGUUCAAAAGUGAAAGACGGUCUUGCUGUCACUUAUAGAUGGAUCCGCGCUGCAUUAGCUAGUUGGUAAGGUAACGGCUUACCAAGGCAACGAUGCAUAGCCGACCUGAGAGGGUGAUCGGCCACACUGGAACUGAGACACGGUCCAGACUCCUACGGGAGGCAGCAGUAGGGAAUCUUCCGCAAUGGGCGAAAUCCUGACGGAGCAACGCCGCGUGAGUGAUGAAGGUCUUCGGAUCGUAAAACUCUGUUAUUAGGGAAGAACAUAUGUGUAAGUAACUGUGCACAUCUUGACGGUACCUAAUCGGAAAGCCACGGCUAACUACGUG
rnacentral:rRNA from 1 species